rnacentral:tRNA from 1 species
AUUUUGAGUAACUAAAAUAAGUGUUGAGCUUUUAAUUCAAUAAUAAGCGUUGCUUCCAAAAUA